rnacentral:rRNA from 1 species
CACGUAGGGGACGAGCGUUGUCCGGAUUCAUUGGGCGUAAAGCGCGCGUAGGCGGCUCGGAAAGUCGGUCGUGAAAUGCCGGGGCUCAACCCCGGGACUGCGUCCGAUACUCCCGAGCUGGAGGCAGGUAGGGGAGAUCGGAAUUCCUGGUGUAGCGGUGAAAUGCGCAGAUAUCAGGAGGAACACCGAUGGCGAAGGCAGGUCACUGGGCCGCAACUGACGCUGAGGAGCGAAAGCAUGGGGAGCGAACAGG